AAGGAGGCAAGCUUAGGGCAACUUGAGAUAUGCAGAUAUUCCAGUGAGUUGAGGUUCUGAAAUCCAUUGGUGGAAAGAGAUACCAGACUUGUGAAGUCCUUAAUAAACAGGACGGUUAAAGAGGAAGGCAGCAUCAUUCCUAUCUCAUCCUGUGGAAAAGACACCACAUCAGGGCAUCCACCUUGAAUAUCAAGCUCUUUAAGAGCGGUAAAUCUGUACAACCCCCAUUCAAACAGUUGCUUGCAAAUCUUGAGCUUGUAAAUCCGAAGUGUUGUUAGGUUGGUCGGGAAGCCGUCUUCUGGAAAGGAAUCAAUGCGUGGACAAUCAUCUAUCCUCAAUUCUUGAAGAGAUGCAAGGUUGUGCAUGUUAUCAGGAAGAGCCUCAAGUUUCUCACAGCCUUGGAUCCAGAGGUUUUUCAAAUAAGCAAUGGGCAACCCCCCACGAGGGAAGCAAACAAGAACUGCACAAUCUGUUAUAAAAAUUUCAUGAAGAUUCAUGACCUUGUGAAGGUCAUCUGGUAAAGAUUUAAGAUUUUUGCAACUUCGGAUCACAAUUCGUCCAAGAGAAUUGUUGGUAAACCUCUCAGUGAUUGACUCCAGUUUUGAACAAUUGAGAACCUCCAAGUCUUGUAGUUUUGUCGGUAAGCUGCCUCUUGGUGAUAAAGAUGUAAGCUCUGGACAAGUAUGAACCUUUAGGUGUAUAAGAGAAGCAGGUAGCUUGCCCCUCGAUAAGGAUGUAAGAGACUGGCAGUUGUAAACUGACAAAAAUUCAAGAUUAGAUGUGUUGCCAGCGCAGCUGGUUAGUAAAGAAGAACCUUCUCCUUCGUCUAGAAAGCUCUGCAAAUUCUUGCAAGAUUUUAUUUCUAGUCUUUUUAGAGUUGGAGGUAAUUGUCCUCUUCCAAAGGACAUCAAAGAAUCGCACUGGUCAAUUUCCAACUCUUCAAGACACCUGCUGCUAGGUAUCACCUGAACAGGGAAAGGAACUAGAGCAUUCGAUUUCCUAAUCCGAAUCACUCUCAGCAUAGAUGGCAAACCCACAUUUGGAAAUAAAGCAAGACCUGGGCAGCGUUCAAUUGUUAGCUCUCUAAGUGACAUGACAUUAUAAAGCCAACGUGGCAGCCUCACAAGGUUUGCACAUUUUCUUAAUCUUAAAAUUUCAAGUUCACUAUCAGCCUGCCCUUGUUCCAGCUGCUCUGCUUCUCCAUCUAGUGCAUUGGAGGUCAGAUGAGGUGAAGAAGGAAAUAUAUCCCCAUCAACAGUUAGAUCUUUUACCUUCCUUAACCCUUGAAUGAAUUCCUCUCCUAGAAUUGUGCACUUUGAAAUUUCAGAGAGUUCCAUUGAGUUUAAUGGACCAAAGUUGUCUUCUAUAUCACAACAAUCCACCUCUUUGCAUCUUACAAUUUUCAACUCUGAAACCUUUGGGAGUCUUGGGAGCGAAACAACAAAUUCUGGACAAUGUAGAAUCACAAGCUUUUCAAGUGAAGAAAGAUGGCAGGGUAGAUGUCCUGACAGUUUGCAACAACUAAUAAUGGAAAGUUCAAGCAAGCAAGGGAAUUCAAACCCACAGGGAUUCCAGUUCUCCCAUUCGGGCAUGUUCCUAAAUAUCAGAGUCUCAAGAGCUGGAAAA
rnacentral:misc_RNA from 1 species